UACGAAGGGUGCAAGCGUUAAUCGGAAUUACUGGGCGUAAAGCGUGCGCAGGCGGUUUUGUAAGUCUGACGUGAAAUCCCCGGGCUCAACCUGGGAAUUGCGUUGGAGACUGCAAGGCUAGAAUCUGGCAGAGGGGGGUAGAAUUCCACGUGUAGCAGUGAAAUGCGUAGAGAUGUGGAGGAACACCGAUGGCGAAGGCAGCCCCCUGGGUCAAGAUUGACGCUCAUGCACGAAAGCGUGGGGAGCAAACAGG
rnacentral:rRNA from 1 species